ACGGUCGCCGCGCGGUUUGUGCUGCCGUAACUGCCUGGCAACAUCCCGGGAAAAGACACAGCGCCGGCCAAGGGGCGGCUCUGCCGCGCUGCGGCUCCCCACGCCCGGCCCUUGCGCUAAAACCUUUCUUCUCUCUGGAAGAAGCYGCGUGACAGCGAAGCCCCCCGGGCUCCCGCCGCCGAGGAAGGUGAUCCCGGCCAGCGAGGGCCCCGGCAGGUUUGCAGGACGAUGAGGCGCUUGCCGAGACCCACAGAGCCGCCUGCGAGGAAUCACUUGCUUAGUGGGAAAGGCUGAGAACUCAUGGARUCAAGUCAUUGAUCCCCUGCUUCCAUGGAGAGAGUCAAGUUUGCCCUGCAAAAGACCUGAGUUGUGUGUGGGGAAACUGCAGCUCAGCAUGGGAGUGUCCUUGGGAAUAACUCUGAGGUCUAAAUGGAAUGAGAUGAGCGGUCCCAGUAACCAGCUUGUGGCUCCUGCAUGGGGCAGGAGCUCCCCCGUUUGGGACGGCAGCUGCGGGGCGCAGGGCCCUGGUGCUGCAGGCAGCAGCAGCUCCAGUUCCUCAGUAACUGAGCACGGAAGCAGGUUUCUGCCAUGGAGAGUUUUGGAAAGUGUCUGCACUUGAAAUGUUUGGAGGACAAAUAAA